CCUACGUGUGGCUGCAGUGGGGAAUAUUGCGCAAUGGGCGAAAGCCUGACGCAGCGACGCCGCGUGAGGGAUGACGGUCUUCGGAUCGUACACCUCUUUCAGUAGGGAAGAACGGUCACUGUGCUAAUCAGCAGUGAAUUGACGGUACCUGCAAAGGUAGCACCGGCUAACUCCGUGCCAGCAGCAGCGGUAAUACGGAGGGUGCGAGCGUUAAUCGGAUGUACUGGGCGGAAAGCGCGCGUAGGCGGUAUGUCAAGUCAAGGGUGAAAUCCCCGCGCUCAACGUGGGAACUGCCGUUGAAACUGGCAAACUGGAGUGUGUUAGAGGAUAGUGGAAUUCGAGGUGUAGGAGUGAAAUGCGUAGAUAUCAGGAGGAACAUCAGUGGCGAAGGCGACUAACUGGCACAUAACUGACGCUGAGGAGCGAAAGCGUGGGUAGCAAACAGGAUUAGAUACCCGAGUAGUC
rnacentral:rRNA from 1 species